rnacentral:ncRNA from 15 species
CUACUGUCACCACGCCUUGGUGCACGGGAAAUCCGGUGUGAAACCGGUGCGGCCCUCGCCACUGUGAUCGGGAAGUCCGGCUCCGGCCCUCAGGGGCAGCCACUGGGUCCUCGGACCCGGGAAGGCGGAGACCGGGCGGUGUCACCCGUCAGCCAGGAGACCGGCCAAGGCGCGUCGUACACCA